UAUUCAACUAACUCAUUGAUAUACCAAUUAGAAAACAGAUUUAAAAUAUAUUCAACUAACAUCCAAACUCAGUUUAUUACAAUAUUCCACACAAUCACAAUAUAACCAUACAAUAUUCCACCAAUCACAAUACAACACAUAAAACGCUCAACAAGUAUAGGAACGUCUCCAACACCUUAUAGUGCCUUCAACCUGCAAAACAUCAACAUCCAUCCACAUAUUAACCAUUGAGUUGAGAUCAAUUCACCCCUUGACGGAAAUAAGAAUAUGCGCUCAUGUAUGAACAAAACUAAAAUAAACAAACUUUGAGGCCAUAGCAUGUGCUACAAAAAUGUUAACAAUUUUUUUAAUAAUUUGUGGUAGCUUGUUCAAAUUCUACUGCAAGGAUUUCAGAUAUGUAUGUAUACUCAAAGUUUCAUAGAUAUUUGUGUGCAAAAUUAAUCUCCCGGUUUCAGAUACGUGUGUAUGCAAACUUAAUCGAUUCCUGGUGCUACUCCUAGUGCACACUUAUUAGAUAUACAGAAAUCAUGGUUAAAAUUCACAUGUACAUGUCCUGGUCCAGUCAAUCACUUACCUUCGUGAUUGCAUCCAUGUCAUGAAGCAGGACAUGGCUGAAUUGGCCUUCACUCACACCAACCAUGUAUAUGAGAAUGAUCAGUCAGCCAAUGAGGUCCAUUGAUUGCACAAGAUGAAAAGAACAUCCUGAAUUUGGGCACAUAUAUACCUAUAGAAAUAGCAGCAUCUCAAUCACUGUAUAAUCAGCAAGCACACAUAGCAGCAGUAAUAAGAACUCUCUGAAUCACAAACACUAAUCAGCACCCCUCUAUGCCAAUCUAUCUCCAACGGAUGAAACAACAAUAUCUCACUCAUCUCAGACGAAUCCUCUCCCAUCUCCCUCUCUCUGAAUCUCAUAUCACCUGAAGCAUAACAUGAGCUCGUUAAUAGACCAACCAAUUUCAUGUUUUUUCUAAUAAAAAGGAAGAGCCAAACUGUAUCUUAUCAUAUGAGGAGAAGAAAAAUAUAAGGGGUCAUACUUAUUCUGCGCCUAUUACGCUGGACCACACCACAUCUUCCAACAUGCUAUCCAAGACUAGCACUAGAAGAUGAAACACACAUAAUGUGUGUGAUGAACAACGGGUUUUAAGGCCAAACACACAUCAGGACGCUGAUAUAAGCCGACGGUACAUUCCCCACGGAGGAGGGAAACUGAGGAAUAAGCCAGCAGCCCCCUCACCUCCAGUACAAGGCUGUUCUCCGGAGAUAUAUGAGAAAGGCAAGCAUCGCGACCCUGCCAUUUACUCGAAGCUACGGGACACACACAGGAUAAAUAAAGAGAAAAACCAACAUCCCCUUUCUUUGCUCCCUUGAGCGUUGGCACAUAAUAAUGCGCUUGAUUGGGACAUGGGUUAACUGAAAUGUUGUGACGUGGUAAUUCCAUGAUGGAGGAAGUACUAGCUAGUACUCCCUCAGUUCCUAAAUAUAUGUCUUUUUAGAGGUUCCACUAGUGGGCUAUAUAUGGUUAUAUAUAGACAUACUUUAGAGUGUAUAUUCAUUCAUUUUACUCCGUAUGUAGACCCCUAGUGAAAUCUUUUAAAAGACUUAUAUUUAGGAACGGAGGGAGUACAUACACACAUGUCACACCGAGACAGAAUCCCCACACCCGCUCUGUUUACCGAAUGGAGGGAGGAAGUGACGAGAUCCCCUGUCCAUCCCUGUUGAGGGCUCAGCACCAUGCAGCACGGGCGGACCUAACGAGGCUCGCAGGUUGGGUUCAAGAUUCCGAGGGUACGGCUGGGUAGGGUUAGCAUGUCGCACCGCUAGAAGUAAAAGAAACAAAACAAGAGGGAAAAAAUAACGGAGAAGGAAGGGAGCAUAUCGGAUGAACCAGCCCAACGGAUGAAGAAGCAGCAAGCAAAUAUAGAGGCAUCUCCCUCUUGGCUCUCUCCCCACCCCCAAAUCGAGCCCACCGUCGCUCCCGUCAUCCCCUUCAACAGCGGCAAUGAGUCUGGGACACAUGUCCAUCCCGCUCGGCUCUCUCCCCACCGCAGGGGAUACAUCGCAUCCCCGUGUGCAGCCCCGGCGACCGUGGCACGCCCUCUAUCUACAUCCUGGCAGUGUCGCCUCUCCCUCCUCCAACUUUCUAUGCUUUGCUCGAUCUAAGAGAAAAUCAAGGGUAGGACGGACCUGUGAUGCGGAGGACAUGACGUGGUGACGGGAACGAUCUGCCCGGAGGUGGAGGCGGGAAUGAUCUGCUAUUUGUACUCCUUGAGACGCGCCUUGAGCUCAUGGUCCUCCUCCGACUGCGAAAGGCUUGAAACACGAGUCACGCGACCACACCCGUAAGAGAGAGGAUGAGUGGCGCCCCCGCCCCAUGGGAAGAAAGCAGAGGAAGAGAAGGGGGGAAGCUCUGGGGUCGUCGUUGCUCACCGGGUUGUCCCCCUUCGUCUUCCCCUUUCCCUUGGCCGGCUGUGGCAGGGCGUGGGAGGCGGCAUGAACUCUGUCGCCGCCACUAGCAUCCUCGUGCGACGAGGGAGAGCAGAUUAGGAUUUGGAUCUCCGUCUGGAUCGGGGGAGGAUAGGGACUGAGGGAGGAGGCGGCGGAAGGAAGUUAAACGAGGGAGCAGAGGGUGUCGUGCACUGCGUUUAGGUUUAGCUAUAUGAGAGGCGAGUGAGAGGCGAGUGAGAGACGUUGGAUCCGCAG
rnacentral:lncRNA from 1 species